rnacentral:rRNA from 1 species
CGGAGGGUGCAAGCGUUAUCCGGAUUCACUGGGUUUAAAGGGUGCGUAGGUGGGUUGGUAAGUCAGUGGUGAAAUCUCCGAGCUUAACUUGGAAACUGCCAUUGAUACUAUCAGUCUUGAAUAUUGUGGAGGUCAGCGGAAUAUGUCAUGUAGCGGUGAAAUGCUUAGAUAUGACAUAGAACACCAAUUGCGAAGGCAGCUGGCUACACAUAUAUUGACACUGAGGCACGAAAGCGUGGGGAUCAAACAGG